AAUCUGGUCGCAAACUAAGGCAACUCCAGGACCUCCCAGUUCCAAAAAAAACUCCACGACCUCGACCUCACCGUCUGGCACGACGGCGGCCUGGUGCGAGACGCCGCCCACCACCAACGUCCCCUGCCUGCACGGCGACCUCGCCGCACUGCACCACAUCGUCGCCUCCCUGCACGAUCGCCAUCGCGAUUGUUGCCGCUCAUAGUGUGGCAUCCAUCCCGCGAGAUCCCCAAAGUCCAGGAGAUGGAACCUGCCCCGACACCAGCCUUGCCGCCGCGCCCGUGCACGGCCCUACACCCGCGCCCGCCGCGUCCCCUGAACCAGCCGGCCACACGCAGCUCUGAUUCUUCCGUCCAUUGCUUCAGGUUCCACUUCUUCGUAGCGUGACGGCGACUCAGGGGGCUGGAUUUGGCCACCGUCUGGAGGGACGCUAUAUAUUGGAUUUGGAUGAUACCGUCUUGAUGUAUAUAUGGUGCCGUGAUAGCCGAUUAAAUCUGCAAAUUCUUUGUCGUUGACUAUGGCCUUGUCUGUCAACUACCUUGAUAGGUUCCUCUCCGUCUAUCCCCUUCCUCGCCCUCGGCUCAAGGGAACCAUCUCCAAGCCUACCGUACUCGAAUCAUGGAAGCGUGCAAAGUACAGCGCAUCGUGGUGUCGCUGGCCACCCGAUCUCUACAGCCACAACAAACGGCUACAUGACCGACCAGGCCGGUGUCUUGACCUCUGAAUCACGUCGCUGUGCUAGCGCCUUGAUCUCGCAUGCGGCCGUCUAAAACCCGAGAGGCCAACCUCGCUCGAGCGUCGCCGGCCAGCACUCAUCUGCACAGGAGCAGCUGGUUGGAUAUAUGUGCCUCCUCCGCCUCUUAUUCCCUGAAACGUAAUGUUAUGAGUAUAGUUUCUAAUCACUGAUGUCACAUUGGCGUAGAAUUAAACUGCAUAGGUUAGAUUGACAUUUUGCCCUAUGUUUAAUUACUAUAUGUGUUGCACACUGGUCCAUGUAUUUAUUCUGUUGGUCAAAAGUUUUGACUAUCAAGUUUCGUCAGACGUGAGUUGUAGAAAUUUUCAGUUACUUUUCUAUGCCUACCAUUUAUCUCUGAACCGUUGUGAUGGAGAUUGUAAUACUGUGUUUAAAAUGUGUCAGCCCAUAUGCGAGAUCUUCUUUUCAAGAUGGCAACCAUGAUUAUAAGUUAAUCAUUUAUACUUUACAAGCAUAUCAGAUACGUGUAAUUAAUGUGUUUGCAUUAGAGCUUUCAUAGGGAAAUUGCAUAAGAUCUUAUAAAACCAUUUUGUCACACACAUUUUUCUGAAUGGCAGCUGCAAAUGCCAGGUAGCAGCUUGCACUAGGUUGACGUGAAUAUUUACUCUUCUUUUGCACUGGUACUGAAACUUGGCAGUUCACAAGGAUUGGCACCACGGACUGAAUGGUCCCAACCAUCGUGGACACACCAGGGGCAGGGGCUGCAUGCUGCCAAGGCCGAGGCAACUGCCAAGAAGACUGGGCUCAAUGUAGUGACCGAGGAGGCGCAGGUCGCAGGUUAUGCUCUUCUAAUUAGUAUGAUGAUUUGCAUAUGUAACAAUGCUACUCUCAAUGGAUUUGCUAACAAUCUCCAGAUUUUCCCUUUGAGUGUGUCUGUGUGUGUGUGUGUGUUUUGCAUGAGUAUUUAACCAAAAACUACCACAAUUCAUGGAACCGUGCCUACAAACUACCACUUUACGAUUUUGUUCUGAAAAAUACCACUUUUUUGCUAAUCUGUGACUAAAAACUAUCAUGUGUGUAAAUCAACCGAUUCAUCCAUUUUAAACGCGUUUAUGAUAGACCUGGCCCGCAUGCGUAAGUCAACGCCCCGCUCCCUCCCCUGCACCGGCGAGCAGCAGCAGCUCCGCCUUGCACUGUGCCGGCGAGCACGGGCAGCUCCACCGCGCACCCCCCUGCCGGCGAGAAGCAGCAGCACCGCGGCAUUGGUAUAUGUGUUUUGGAAUCUUGGUAGUAGUUCAGUAGUGAUCCAGUCGUAAUAUCUUACAAGUACCAUGCUAAUCAAAAAUUUCUUGAUCAAGUUUAUUAUUAUUUCCAUUGUACUAUACUUUAUUUCCAUGGUAUCAAGUUCUACAAAUUGCAUGUUCUGGUACAAUAUUUGUUUUUUUUAGAUGCUGCCUUUUUUGCUAAUAAAUCUAUAGUUCAAUCUGGAUGCAGAAUCAAAGAAAAUUAUGGCCUUGUGUUGAUAGUUGCAGUUACACUGUGAUGGAUUGUGUUUACUUUUUGUUUAUGGAAAUAGAGAAACUGAUUAUUCUGUUUGCAGGACGGGUAUCCUAAAUUCUAAUUCAGACAUUAGUGAUGAUAUAACAAUUUCCUACGCCAAAUUGUCAUUCGGGCGAGCCUAGCUUAGCUUGAAACCACCGGAGAUUGUGUGGUUCACGAGAGGUAGAGACUCCACCUGAUAUUUUGUCGUGCCCACUGACAACAAUGACAUGGAUAGUGACGUCACUGCUGGACAUAAUUGCCCUAUUUGUAAACUGUUGGGUAGUCCUAUUUGGUGGAUUGUAACGAGCUAUAUAGUAUGUUGAAAGCAGAUGUAACCUCAUUCAUUUUCACAUAGAUGCCUCUCCAGUAUAUCUGAUCUUUCGAGCCUACAGUUUGUAAUGUUGUAUUUCUUUUGUGAAAC